rnacentral:pre_miRNA from 1 species
GAAGGUUAAGUGUGUUGGGGUAGUGGAGAUGGUCAAAGAUGUUAGAGAAUAAUAUAAAUCAUAUCCUAGGACCUCACUUAACAGCUUAAGCUA